GUUAACAAAAAUUAGUAUAUAAUAUAUCACGAAGGGUGUUGAGCUAAUUAAUUAAAUAUUAUAGAAUGUGUCCCCUAUGUGUGGCAUUACAUAGAAGAUAUAAUUGAUUAGGGGUGAAAGGCUUUCCAAAAUAUCCGAUAUCUUGAUUUCUAGGAAAGCUAUUUAGUAGACAUAAUUCAACCUUGAAGUGGUGAGAUUUCAGGGCGGUACAAAGUUUAGGGUUGGAUAAAGUAAAUUGUUUAACGAUAAUUACUUGUUGGUUUCUAAUAUUAAUUAUUUGUUGUUUGUAUACAUUACUGAAAUAUAUUUAAUAACUAAAUUAAAUAAUAUCACUGCUAAUAUAAGUAUUGUAAUAACUUUCUACGUAGGAACUCGGCAAAAUUGUUACUUAACUGUUUACCAAAAACAUAGCUAGGUGCUUUAUAUACUUGGUUGUUUCUGCUCAAUGGGAAACUAAAUAGCCGCAGUACCCUGACUGUGCAAAGGUAGCAUAAUCAUUUGGCUUAUAAUUGAAGUCUGGCAUGAAGGAAAGUAUGGGUAACAACUGUCUUCCACGAAUUUUUAGAAUUUACUGAGUAGGUGAAAAUUCCUAUAGAGUUAUAAUAGACGAGAAGACCCUAGAAAUUUUAAUAUAAGGGAUAUAAUUUAUCUUACUAUUUUGUUGGGGCGACAGAAUAACAAUUAAACUUGUUUUACUUGAUUUGAACUUGUUUUUGAGGUAAAUUAAAUUACUCUAGGGAUAACAGCAUAAUUUAUUAAAGUUUGUGACCUCGAUGUUGGACUAGGAUCUUUAAUAGCCAGAAGUUAUUAAAUUAGGCUCUGUUCGAGCCUUAUUUCCU
rnacentral:rRNA from 1 species